rnacentral:rRNA from 1 species
AGCGAACGCUGGCGGCGUGCCUAACACAUGCAAGUCGAGCGAGAAAAGGGGGAGCAAUCCCCUGAGUACAGCGGCGCACGGGUGAGUAACACGUAGGUGACCUCCCCUCAGCUCUGGGAUAAGCCUGGGAAACCGGGUCUAAUACUGGAUAUGACUCCAUGACGCAUGUUGUGGGGUGGAAAGCCUUGUGCGGCUGAGGAUGGGCCCGCGGCCUAUCAGCUGUUGGUGGGGUGAUGGCCUACCAAGGCGACGACGGGUAGCCGGCCUGAGGAGGGCGACCGGCCACACUGGGACGUGAGACACGGCCCAGACUCCUACGGGAGGCAGCAGUGGGGAAUCUUGCGCAAUGGGCGAAAGCCUGACGCAGCGACG